rnacentral:rRNA from 1 species
GGAGCUAACGCGUUAAGUCGACCGCCUGGGGAGUACGGCCGCAAGGUUAAAACUCAAAUGAAUUGACGGGGGCCCGCACAAGCGGUGGAGCAUGUGGUUUAAUUCGAUGCAACGCGAAGAACCUUACCUACUCUUGACAUCCAGCGAACUUUCCAGAGAUGGAUUGGUGCCUUCGGGAACGCUGAGACAGGUGCUGCAUGGCUGUCGUCAGCUCGUGUUGUGAAAUGUUGGGUUAAGUCCCGCAACGAGCGCAACCCUUAUCCUUUGUUGCCAGCGAUUCGGUCGGGAACUCAAAGGAGACUGCCGGUGAUAAACCGGAGGAAGGUGGGGAUGACGUCAAGUCAUCAUGGCCCUUACGAGUAGGGCUACACACGUGCUACAAUGGCGCAUACAAAGAGAAGCGACCUCGCGAGAGCAAGCGGACCUCAUAAAGUGCGUCGUAGUCCGGAUCGGAGUCUGCAACUCGACUCCGUGAAGUCGGAAUCGCUAGUAAUCGUGGAUCAGAAUGCCACGGUGAAUACGUUCCCGGGCCUUGUACACACCGCCCGUCACACCAUGGGAGUGGGUUGCAAAAGAAGUAGGUAGCUUAACCUUCGGGAGGGCG